UCCCUUGUAGCCCAGUUGGUAAAGAAUCUGCCUGCAGUGCAGGAGACCCAGGUUCGAUCCCUGGGUUGGGAA
rfam:Ovis aries breed Texel chromosome 9, whole genome shotgun sequence.